GACGAACGCUGGCGGCGUGCUUAACACAUGCAAGUCGAACGAAGAGCGAUGGAAGCUUGCUUCUAUCAAUCUUAGUGGCGAACGGGUGAGUAACGCGUAAUCAACCUGCCCUUCAGAGGGGGACAACAGUUGGAAAGGACUGCUCAUACCGCAUACGAUCCAAUCUCGGCAUCGGGACUGGAUGUAAGGUGGCCUCUAUUUAUCAGCUAACACUGAAGGAGGGGGUUGCGUCUGAUUAGCUAGGUGGAGGGGUAACGGACCACGCAGGGGGGGAUCGGUAGGCGGUCGGAUCGGAUGGACGGCCACAUUGGGACUUAUGCCCGCCCCAGACUCCUACGGGUAGCAGCCGUCGGGAAUCUUCCGCAAUAGACGUAAGUCUGACGGAGCAACGCCGCGUGAGUGAGGACGGCCUUCGGGUUGUGGAGCUCUGUUAAUCGGGACGAAUGGUCCUUGUGCGAAUAGUGCGAGGAUUUGACGGUACCGGAAUAGAAAGCCACGGCUAACUACGUG
rnacentral:rRNA from 1 species